CAGCGGUGGCGGCAGAGGCAGCAGCGACAGCGGUGCCGACAGGGGUGGCAACAGCGGCAGCACCUACAGAGGUGGUGGUGUCAGUGGCAGCGGCGACAGUGGCUGCAGCGACAGCAGCUGCGGCAGCAGCGGCGGCGGCGGUGGCGGCGGUGGCGACGGUGGCGACGGUGACGGCGGCGGUGGAAGCAGCGGUGGCGACAGCGGUGGUGACAGUGGCGGUGGCAGCGGUGGCGGCGGCGACAGCGGCCGCGGCGGCGGCAACAGCACGACAGUGGCGACACAGCGACACGGCAGCCCCUUUUCUCCUACUAUAUUAUACCCAUAUGCAUGCCUGAUCCCUCUCCCUCUCUCCUCCUCCUCUCACCUCGAGGGCGCGCUUCACCUCCAGCUCUGCCGCCUCUCCCAUGGUGCUCAACUCGAUGGUCUCCAGCUGCUUGCAGGACAGCAUGGAAGGACCACCUCGCCCCUCCCGGGCUGCCCACAUUACUCGCUCCAGCUCCCGUCUCUCAUCCAAGGCCCUUUCCACUUGGGCCUGCAGGUACUCCAGGGACUCCGGAAGAGGUUCCGGAGUCAACAUUGUCGACGCUGCUUCGUUCCUGUACGAGACCACUUUGAAGACGAAAGCCGUCAUCACCCUGCCGCCUGGAUACAUGUCCAUUUAUUACCACAAACAUACUUAUCAGCAGACAUGCAUACGUAUAUAACACAAAAAGGGUGGCAAAUAAUAAACAUGCAUAUCUCCAAAACCCCGAAGCAAAACAUACACACACAAAAAAAAACACACAUACACACAAACACACUAAAAAAGUGAAAAGAAAGAGAUCUACUUACUGUCGGACAUGUGGCAAUCCGUCACUGUCGCCACGAGCUUAAGGCCCCAGAAGCCCAGCAGCUCCAUCUCGGCCAAGGGAUUGGGCAUGCUGUACUGCACCACGGUUAUGGCCUGGUGUUGUGUAUAAUAAAUAUUUCGUGCGUGGGUGUGGGCGGAUGAUUGGUUUUGGUGGGUGAUGGGGUGUGGCAUAUAAUAUAAUAAUAAGAUAUGUUAUCAUAUUUCUUCCCACUUUGUAAAAUAAAAUUAAAAAACACGGAAGGUCUUCCCUGCUGUGCAUGCUCUGCCGUUGUCGACUACACAGCUACUACUGUCAUUAUUGUUAUCAUCAUUAUUAUUUAAUUCUACUACUCGUGCCACGAUAGCUACAAUAAACACCCCCCUCCCCCCCCGCUGCUUUUCUUAUCUUUUCCUGCCGUCUGUCACCCUUAUUACUAUUAAUAAUAAUAUUUUUUAAUAUUAUCAUCGUCACAUUUAUUAUUAUUAUUAUUAUUAUUAUUAUUUAUUAAUUUUUUUAUUGUAUCUCAUCCCUGUUAUAUAAUUUUACGAUACAUACAAGCGUGUGUACAGUACAUGUUUUCAUGUCAACAUAAUAUUUUACAUACCUUCCGGNNNNNNNNNNNNNNNNNNNNNNNNNNNNNNNNNNNNNNNNNNNNNNNNNNAAGCAGCGGCGGAGGCAGAGGCAGCAGCGACAGCGGUGGCGACAGCGGCAGCGGCUACAGAGGUGGUGGUGACAGUGGCUUUGUGGCAACGGUGGCUGCAGCGACAGCAGCUGCGGCAGGAGAGGCAGCAGCGGCGGUGGCGACGGUGGCGACGGUGGCGGCGGCGGUGGAAGCAGCGGUGGUGGCGACAGCGACAGCGGCAGCGGCAGCGGCAGCGGCGGUGGUGACGGCGGCGGCGACAGCGGCGGCGGUGGCGGCGGUGACGACGGUGGCGACAGUGGCGGCGGCGACAAAGCAGCGGCGGCAGCAGAGGCAGCAGCGACAGCGGUGCCGACAGCGGCAGCAGCUACAGAGGUGGUGGUGUCAGUGGCGGCGGCGACAAAGCAGCGGCGGAGGCAGAGGCAGCAGCGACAGUGGUGGCGACGGUGGCGACAGCGGCAGCGGCUACAGAGGUGGUGGUGAUAGUGGCUUUGCGGCGACGGUGGCUGCAGCGACAGCAGCUGCGGCAGGAGAGGCAGCAGCGGCGGUGGUGACGGUGGCGACGGUGGCGGCGGCGGUGGAAGCAGCGGGUAGUGGCGACAGCGACAGCGGCAGCGGUGGUGGUGACGGCGGCGGCGACAGCGGCGGCGGUGGCGGCGGUGGCGGCGGUAACGACGGUGGCGACAGUGGCGGCGGCGACAAAGCAGCGGCGGCGGCAGAGGCAGCAGCGACAGCGGUGCCGACAGAGGGGUGGCAACAGCGGCAGCAGCUACAGAGGUGGUGGUGUCAGUGGCAGCGGCGACAGUGGCUGCAGCGACAGCAGCUGCGGCAGCAGCGGCGGCGGCGGUGGCGGCGGUGGCGAC
rnacentral:lncRNA from 1 species